UCACUGCGAAGAAACGUUGUUGUUAUGGAUUAUGUCGGAGUAAUACUCGUAGUAAAUCAUUCUUGGAGAAUUUAUAUUAUUUUAUUAGUUUCCCGAAGCCUUGUUUCGAAUAUUGUCGAAAACUUAUCAAAUCAACAAAAAAGAAACAUAAAAAUUUGUCCAAAAUGUGCUAAAUGUGAUUUGUGGGUUAAAAGAUGUGGACGCGGUGAUGAUCGAUUCGAAGUGAUUGAUCAUGUAAAUAAAGACACAUACAUUUGUUCACUUCAUUUUGAAGGAGAAAGUGGUCCAACAACAGAAUAUCCUGAUCCCGUCAGUUGUGUAAAUAAAAAACUAAGUAACAAGGUAAAAGUGACAAAGACUUCCUUGGCCGAGAAAUAUGAACAAAUUAAUGACGAAAGGAAUCAAGGCAUUGAAAAUUCAAACCAUUCUGCAAAAAACAUAGAUUGUACAACUGUCCAUAAUGUCCUUAUUGAUGAAAGACAAAAUGGUUAAACAACAGCAUUUUCAUUGAAUCAAAAUUUCAUUCCUACACCAGAAUUAAACUUGCCAAAUAAAAAUUUUGAAUUUUCAAGAACUACUGAUGCCACGGUGAAAACUGUGAGAUUUUAACAUUAGCAGAAAUUCCUGCAGAAAAUGAAACAUUGCCAAAUAUCAUAUGCAACCAAGGCGUUCAAAUUGAUAUUAAAAAACGGACUAGUAAAAGGACUCAAGUUAAUCUACGUCAAAGUUCAGCAAUGGAUAAAUUUGAAGAGUCUAUCAAAAAUAAUAUUAAAAAAUGUAAAUUUUACACAAGCUUGGAGUAUCAAGAAAUUGUAAUUUUAUACAAUUUUGUUAAUCCGGAAUAUAAAAAUGUGUUAAAUGAAGUUGAUCAGCAGAAGAAAAGUAACAAUAGUCAUCAAAAAUUGACAUCAAUACAGCAAUUGAUUCUAGUACUUAUCCAGUUACGCGUUGGUACUUGAGUUGAAGAUUUAGCUUACAGUUAUUAUAGAUUAUACGGAAUUUCAAUGUCAGUCACCAUCAAACUUUGAACAUCAAGGAAAUUUAUACUCUUCGUACAAAGCUCGAACUACUUAUAAAGCACUAAUUGGAUGUACUCCUAAUGGAGGUGUAUGCUUUGUAUCAGAUUUAUUCGAAGGAAGUAUAUCAGAUCAUGAAAUAUUUAUUAAAUCAAAUAUUUGUGAUUUCCUGGAACCUGGAGAUUUAGUGUUAGCAGAUAGAGAAUUUACCGUUCAUGAUAUUGUUGAAUUGAAGCAAGCUUAUUUAAAUAUACCACCGUUUUUAAAUGGUAGGAAAAGAUUAUCACCUCAAGAAGAAAUGGAGACAAAACUGAUGGCAAAACAGCGUAUCUACAUUGAACAUGUUAUUGGAAGAAUUAAACAAUUUCGAUUCCUUCAGAAAGUUCUACCUUUAAGUGUACGUUCACUGAUGUCCCAAAGUCUUUUUGUAUGUGCUUGCUUAGUUAAUUUCCAGUCACCGAUUGUUAUUGAUUAAAUAGUCUGUGCUUACUUGAGAAAAUAAUUUAAAACGGAAGAUGUGAAAAUUGCGUUGGUUCAAUAAUAACUUGCUAAAAAAUUAAGAGUUUAUCUUACCAAUACCAAUUGUAAAUAAUAUACACUUUUCAGUUAACAUCAAUAUAUUUAUAUUUAAAUGUUUUAAAUUUUGUAUCUUCUUUGUAACAAUUAUACAGUCUUCUAAGUAA
rnacentral:misc_RNA from 1 species